CCUGCUCAAUGUAAACUAAAUAGCCGCAAAAAGUGCUAAGGUAGCAUAAUAAAUUGCCCUUUAAUUAAGGGAUAGAAUGAAAGGAAUAACGAUUUAUUAAUUUUAUUAAACUGUCAAACUUAAAUUAACAAUAUAUGUCAAAACUCAAUUAACACUAAGCAGGACGACAAGACCCUACCGAACUUUACUUAAAGUUAAACUGGGGUGGUACAAAACAAAAUCUUUAUCACUCUUACAAUUCACGCCAAUAAAAGAAAUAAAUCAAGUUACCAUAGGGAUAACAGCAUAAUAAUUUACUAAAGCUCAUAUAAAAUAAAUUGAUUAUGACCUCGAUGUUGAAUUAAUAACACUAUUUUUUGAAAAAAAAAAGAAAGAGAGUCUGUUCGACUUAUAAAAUAUUACAU
rnacentral:rRNA from 1 species